rnacentral:rRNA from 1 species
UACGGAGGAUCCAAGCGUUAUCCGGAAUCAUUGGGUUUAAAGGGUCCGUAGGCGGUCAGGUAAGUCAGUGGUGAAAGCCCAUCGCUCAACGGUGGAACGGCCAUUGAUACUGCUUGACUUGAAUUAUUAGGAAGUAACUAGAAUAUGUAGUGUAGCGGUGAAAUGCUUAGAGAUUACAUGGAAUACCAAUUGCGAAGGCAGGUUACUACUAAUGGAUUGACGCUGAUGGACGAAAGCGUGGGGAGCGAACAGG